UAAGGAAUAUUGGUCAAUGGACGCAAGUCUGAACCAGCCAUGCCGCGUGAAGGAUUAAGGUCCUCUGGAUUGUAAACUUCUUUUAUCUGGGACGAAAAAGGCGAUUCUUCGUCACUUGACGGUACCAGAUGAAUAAGCACCGGCUAACUCCGUGCCAGCAGCCGCGGUAAUACGGAGGGUGCAAGCGUUAUCCGGAUUCACUGGGUUUAAAGGUGCGUAGGCGGGCAGGUAAGUCAGUGGUGAAAAUCCUAGAGCUUAACUCUAGAACUGCCAUUGAUACUAUCUGUCUUGAAUAUUGUGGAGGUAAGCGGAAUAUGUCAUGUAGCGGUGAAAUGCUUAGAUAUGACAUAGAACACCUAUUGCGAAGGCAGCUUACUACGCAUAUAUUGACGCUGAGGCACGAAAGCGUGGGGAUCAAACAGGAUUAGAUACCCUGGUAGUCCACGCCCUAAACGAUGAUUACUCGACAUUUGUGAUACACUAUAAGUGUCUGAGCGAAAGCAUUAAGUAAUCCACCUGGGAAGUACGACCGCAA
rnacentral:rRNA from 1 species